rnacentral:rRNA from 1 species
CCUACGGGGGGCAGCAGUCGAGAAUCAUUCACAAUGGGGGAAACCCUGAUGGUGCGACGCCGCGUGGGGGAAUGAAGGUCUUCAGAUUGUAAACCCCUGUCAUGUGGGAGCAAAUUAAAAAGAUAGUACCACAAGAGGAAGAGACGGCUAACUCUGUGCCAGAAGCCGCGGUACUACAGAGGUCUCAAGCGUUGUUCGGAAUCACUGGGCGUAAAGCGUGCGUAGGCUGUUUCGUAAGUCGUGUGUGAAAGGCGCGGGCUCAACCCGCGGACGGCACAUGAUACUGCGAGACUAGAGUAAUGGAGGGGGAACCGGAAUUCUCGGUGUAGCAGUGAAAUGCGUAGAUAUCGAGAGGAACACUCGUGGCGAAGGCGGGUUCCUGGACAUUAACUGACGCUGAGGCACGAAGGCCAGGGGAGCGAAAGGGAUUAGAUACCCUAGUAGUC